ACCCCUUCUCGGCCUUUUGGCUAAGAUCAAGUGUAAAAUGUAUUUAAAAUGCUAAUUAUUUUUUUGUUUACUAAAGUAAUAUGAAAUAUAAAAUAUUUAUAUUACACGUUUUAUAAUUAUAAAAAUGACCUGGACUAGGGAUUUAGCUCAGUGGUGCUGCCGCCUGCCUCACAAGUGCAAGGUCCCGAGU
rfam:Fukomys damarensis contig116938, whole genome shotgun sequence.